AACGUAGGAGACAAACGUUAUCCGGAGUUACUGGGCGUAAAGGGCGUGCAGGCGGUCGACUAAGUCUGGCGUGAAAGCUCUCGGCUAAACCGGGAGAGGUCGUUGGAUACUGGUUGACUAGAGGACGGUAGAGGCGUGUGGAAUUCCGGGUGUAGUGGUGGAAUGCGUAGAUAUCGGGAGGAACACCAGUGGCGAAGGCGGCGACCUGGGCCAAUAUUGACGCUGGGGUGCGAAAGCGUGGGGAGCAAACAGG
rnacentral:rRNA from 1 species